rnacentral:rRNA from 1 species
AUGGCCACUUCUCUAAGGUCAUGUGCAAAGGUGAUGCUAGGGCAAAUGAUUUCAUGGGAUGGGCUUGGCUUGCAGGCCCAAGAGUUGGCAUUCCUUGGAGACCCUAUCCCCGAGGAGGAGGUGGAGGAGGCCAUCAACCAAAUGCCAUGUGACAAAGUGCCCGGUCCAACCGGGUUCACCGGCCUCUUCUUCAAGAAAUGGUGGGAUACCAUAAAAAGCGAUACCAUGCAAGUCAUUUCUCUAUUUUUUAACCUCCACAUCGCCAACCUCGAUUGGCUCUCAACUCCACGAAUGUUGUGA